rnacentral:rRNA from 1 species
AAGUCUAUUGGAAAAUGGCGCCACAGAGGGUGAUAGCCCCGUCUGAUUCAACACAAUACAUAUCUUCCCCCUCCAAAGAGUCGAGUUGUUUGGGAAUGCAGCUCUAAGUGGGUGGUAAAUUCCAUCUAAAGCUAAAUAUUGGCGAGAGACCGAUAGCGAACAAGUACAGUGAUGGAAAGAUGAAAAGCACUUUGAAAAGAGAGUGAAAAAGUACGUGAAAUUGUUGAAAGGGAAGGGCUUGCAAGCAGACACAACUUUUUGUUGGGCCAGCAUCGGGGGAGUAGGAGGCAAAAAGGAGUAGAAAUGUAGCUUCGGUGUUAUAGUCUGCUCUCAUACCUCCCCACCCUCCCGAGGCCUGCGUAUCUCGGAUGCUGGCGUACUGGUUGCAAGUCUCCCGUCU